rnacentral:lncRNA from 1 species
GCCGUAGUCCCUCCCGCACCGACUACAAGGCCCGUCGUGCCCCGCGCGGCCGGGCUCGGCCGUGAUUGGCCUGCGGCCGCACUGAGCCGGGUCCCUUCUAACGCCGUUGCCUCCGUCACCGCCUCCGCGAGUAUUGUGGGGGCCUUCGUCCCGCCUCCGGGUCCCACUACAAGACCCGUCGUGCCCAGCGCCGCCGCCGAGCCGUGAUUGGCCCUGGCCUAGGCCACCGGCAGCCCCCGGGGGGAUUGUGGGGGCUGUAGUCCCGCCCUCGCCCCCACGGGUGCCUGCUGCCUGGCGGUCCUGCCCGACGAGGUUGGCAUCCCACUGCCCCGCGGAGGCGGACACAAAAGGUCUCCCGCUUUGGUGUCUUCCUCCAUUUCUUUCAGCCGUGAUUUUUCAUUUUCAGCCUACACUCUUUGCCUCCUUGGUUUAACCCUUACGUGGUUUUUUAUGCUCUUCAGAUCCUUUAGGGACAACAGGAGAUCCACACACAAAAGAAUGAAGUUGGAACCCCACCUCAAAUUUAAAAUCUGUGCUCCAGAGGACAAAAUUAAGAACAGAAGGGAGAAAGUCUUUCAAACGACAAGAUCUGACAUCUGGAACUCUUGAGGGUAGGUGGACUUGGAAGUCAACCUUAGGGACUCCGGCAGCUGGCGCCCUCUGCUGGCCACAUUUAGCUCUGCGCCUGCAGACCCUGCCGGGGCAGGCCUAGGGGAAGGAUUUUCAGGGGGCAGGAGGAGGGGUCAGGAGGGAGAGCAGCAGGGGCAGGGGAAAUCUUCCUGCAAGAACACUGCACUUUAAUAAGGGUGCCACCAACACCGGCAAUGUCCAUGCCAGCUUGGGCUACCAAAGCAACACACCACAGACUGGGCAGCUUACAAAACAGACAUUUAUUUCUCACAGUCCAAGAGGUUGUUCAAUAUCAGGGUGGCAGCACGGU